AGCAUGAUUUCCAACGAGUUUUUCUUUGAUUCAGACGACGAUGAAAUAGCAAGCGAAAGGAUGGACAGGAAUAGAAGUUAUGACCUGUUGGUGAUUGCCAGAAAUAGAAGGCUUUUGAGGGACGCUUCGAACCCUCUGGAACUUGAUGAAAAUAUGUGAAUAAAUAACAUGAACAUAUUCACCCUUAUCCUAAUAGUCGUUUUGCUAAAACGCCAAUGAAACGACAAGGCUCUGGAAACAAAAAUUGGAAUUUUAUUGAAACGAUUGAACGCUGCUCUUUUCGUAUUAUUUAAACACCAAAAUGUGGUCUCUGGAGCGUUCUCGUUUUAAAGGCGUUUAAAACGACUACCGGAAUAAGGGUGAUUGUUUUCAUUUGCUAAUUUAUUAUUCUUUGAAGAUUUUUGAAACACUUCAGGCUAUCAAAGCCAGCUUUUGUCCAAUUACUUGCUGACAUUGAUAACCACCUAGGGCCAGCAAAGGGAAUAACUUCGAUUCAAAGCAUUAUAAAAUUAGCUACCGCACUACGAUUCUGCGCCCAUGGUUCAUUCCAAUUUAGUGUUGGCAACGAAUAUUGCCUGGGACUUGCACAGUCGACCGUAUCCGUCGUGCUAAAAGAAGUGUUAAACUGCCUCGAAAGAAUAAUUUGCCCAGUGUGGAUUAAGUUUCAUUAUACCGAAGCUGAAAAAUCACGCUCUAAACUUAAUUUUUAUGAGCGCAGCCAUAUACUAGGAGUAAUAGGUUGUGUCGAUGGCACGCACAUUAAAAUUGCUUCUCCAAAAAAAAGAUCUCCAACAUGCGUACUAUAAUCGUAAAGGAUUUUACAGCAUAAAUGCAAUGAUAGUUUGUGACGAUACGAUGAAAAUCCGUUUCAUCAACGCAAAAUACCCUGGAUCAACUCAUGAUGCCAAUGCUUUUAACAUGUCAACCCUAAGGGUAAUUCUGGAAAGGGAAACUGGAAGAGGACAACCAAACUCUUUCCUUUUAGGUCGCAAUCGCAUUCCAAUUGGACCAACCGGGAGCAGAAGCAGAUUCUCAUCAGAUUGAUGGAAGAAAAUCCUGAGAUAGCCAAGGGAUUUUCAACAAACCGGGUUGACAUCGAUCACUUUUGGAGAGAUGCUGCGGAGAAGCUGAAUAGCUACGGACCUCCUUCUAAAGACGGUGCGACUUGGAAAAAGGUCUAUAAAUUAAAUUUUAACAAAAAAAGUUGUAUAGUAACAAAUGUUUGGUUUCAAGGUUUGGGCUGAUUUUAAAUCCAAAACAAAAAAGAAACUGGUGGAAAAUGAAGUAAAAAGGAAACAGUCGGGAUUCAAUGACAACAAUCUUGUAGCCCUAACCGAGUUCGAGGAAGCUAUUGUCAGGAUCACUUCACUUAAGCAGUCCGUUGAAGGCAUAAGUGCCAGGGUAUUUGGCAUAAUCCAAGUAGAGGAGUCUGAAACGGUGGCGGCUUCUACAUCAAAAAAAGUGUCUAUGGCUUCUUGCCUUGAAGAAAAUUUGAAACCAGGCGCAAUAAUUGAAGACCAAGAGAAGCUGUCUGUACCUUCUAGCAAUAGAGCAAACAAAUACACUCCAGUUAAAAUUCUUCAAAAGCAAAAUGAAGUACAGGAAGUUUUUUUUGCAGAACUGUCCUCCAAACUGGAUGAUAUUAAGGACGAACUUCACCGAAUGAAUAGAUAUGUAUAUACAAAAGGCUGAUGACACAGAAAAAAAAAUGUAUGAAGAGAACCGUCGGCACAAUCUCGCCGUGGAAAAAUUAAUGCGCGAGAAGUUAGAAUUAAAGAAAAAAGUCCUGGAAGUGCAACUUGACCAGGUCAUGGCUAAACUGGGCUCUACAUAAGUUUGGGACCCGUCCCACAAGAUCUUUGAAUGUGAGAUUUUAAUCUGCUUACCUACAUAUAUAAAAGAAUAAAAAAGUUUCCAGUUGUUUUUUGAAUUAAGUUUAUUUUUUGUGAAUGGUUUUAGUUUUGAAUUAAGUUUUUUUUUGUUGUGAAUGGUUUUAGUUUUGAAUUAAGUUUUUUUUUGUUGCGAAUGGUUUUAGUUUUUAAUUAAUUUAUUUUUGAAUCAAAAAAAUGAAAUAAAUAAGACUGAUAUAGUGAUAUCGCAAUAUGUAAAAUGUGUACUCCUUUAAUUAAAAUAAACCAGCGAUUCUGUCACGAGCGUUUCUAGC